rnacentral:rRNA from 1 species
GACGGAGGGUGCAAGCGUUGUUCGGAUUGACUGGGCGUAAAGGGCGCGUAGGCGGGUCGGCAAGUCCGGGGUGAAAGCCCCCAGCUCAACUGGGGAAGGGCCUUGGAAACUGCCGGUCUCGAGGGAGGUAGGGGCCUGUGGAACUUCGGGUGGAGCGGUGAAAUGCGUUGAUAUCCGAAGGAACGCCGGUGGCGAAAG